rnacentral:rRNA from 1 species
GACGAACGCUGGCGGCGUGCUUAACACAUGCAAGUCGAACGGAAAGGCCCUGCUUUUGUGGGGUGCUCGAGUGGCGAACGGGUGAGUAACACGUGAGUAACCUGCCCUUGACUUUGGGAUAACUUCAGGAAACUGGGGCUAAUACCUGAUAGGAGCUCCUGCUGCAUGGUGGGGGUUGGAAAGUUUCGGCGGUUGGGGAUGGACUCGCGGCUUAUCAGCUUGUUGGUGGGGUAGUGGCUUACCAAGGCUUUGACGGGUAGCCGGCCUGAGAGGGUGACCGGCCACAUUGGGACUGAGAUACGGCCCAGACUCCUACGGGAGGCAGCAGUGGGGAAUAUUGCACAAUGGGCGGAAGCCUGAUGCAGCAACGCCGCGUGCGGGAUGACGGCCUGCGGGUUGUAAACCGCUUUCGCCUGUGACGAAGCGUGAGUGACGGUAAUGGGUAAAGAAGCACCGGCUAACUACGUG